rnacentral:rRNA from 1 species
AGAGUUUGAUCCUGGCUCAGGAUGAACGCUAGCGGCAGGCCUAACACAUGCAAGUCGAGGGGCAUCACGAGGUAGCAAUACUUUGGUGGCGACCGGCGCACGGGUGCGUAACGCGUAUGUAACCUACCUAUAACAGGGGCAUAACACUGAGAAAUUGGUACUAAUUCCCCAUAAUAUUCGGAGAGGCAUCUCUCCGGGUUGAAAACUCCGGUGGUUAUAGAUGGACAUGCGUUGUAUUAGCUAGUUGGUGAGGUAACGGCUCACCAAGGCAACGAUACAUAGGGGGACUGAGAGGUUAACCCCCCACACUGGUACUGAGACACGGACCAGACUCCUACGGGAGGCAGCAGUGAGGAAUAUUGGUCAAUGGACGCAAGUCUGAACCAGCCAUGCCGCGUGCAGGAUGACGGCUCUAUGAGUUGUAAACUGCUUUUGUACGAGGGUAAACGCAGAUACGUGUAUCUGUCUGAAAGUAUCGUACGAAUAAGGAUCGGCUAACUCCGUGCCAGCAGCCGCGGUAAUACGGAGGAUCCAAGCGUUAUCCGGAUUUAUUGGGUUUAAAGGGUGCGUAGGCGGUUUGAUAAGUUAGAGGUGAAAUUUCGGGGCUCAACCCUGAACGUGCCUCUAAUACUGUUGAGCUAGAGAGUAGUUGCGGUAGGCGGAAUGUAUGGUGUAGCGGUGAAAUGCUUAGAGAUCAUACAGAACACCGAUUGCGAAGGCAGCUUACCAAACUAUAUCUGACGUUGAGGCACGAAAGCGUGGGGAGCAAACAGGAUUAGAUACCCUGGUAGUCCACGCAGUAAACGAUGAUAACUCGUUGUCGGCGAUACACAGUCGGUGACUAAGCGAAAGCGAUAAGUUAUCCACCUGGGGAGUACGUUCGCAAGAAUGAAACUCAAAGGAAUUGACGGGGGCCCGCACAAGCGGAGGAACAUGUG